GAGUAACGCGUAUCCAACCUCCCCUUAGUAGGGCAUAGCCCGGCGAAAGUCGGAUUAAUACCCUAUGUUCUUCGUAGAGGACAUCUGAAAUGAAGCAAAGGUUUACCGCUAAGGGGAUGGGGAUGCGUCUGAUUAGGUAGUAGGCGGGGUAACGGCCCACCUAGCCUGCGAUCAGUAGGGGUUCUGAGAGGAAGGUCCCCCACAUUGGAACUGAGACACGGUCCAAACUCCUACGGGAGGCAGCAGUGAGGAAUAUUGGUCAAUGGGCGCGAGCCUGAACCAGCCAAGUAAGCGUGCAGGAUGACGGCCCUAUGGGUUGUAAACUGCUUUUAUCAGGGGAUAAAGUGAGGGACGUGUCCCUUUUUGUAGGUACCUGAUGAAUAAGGACCGGCUAAUUCCGUGCCAGCCGCGGC
rnacentral:rRNA from 1 species